GUAAUUCUAAAUAUAAUUCUCCAAUAUACAUAGCAAUGCAUACAAUGCAUGAACUAAUUUCUUUAUGAACUAAUUUCUUUAAUCAAUUAACUAUUAUUGAAAGAAGAAACGUCAACACGGGAGGCGAUAUCUAUAUAUCUAUUGCCACCAUUCUCUCCUGACAUGAAUUUUCUGACGACGUCUUCUGGGUUUUAUUUUAGGCUCCUUGGGCAAUAGUAUGUGCGAAAUACAAAUGCUUACGAACGAUAUAAGCGCAUGUGCAGCAAAGCCAUAAAGGAAGACAUGGAAAAGGGAGUACACUUCAGCCUUCUUAUCUGGAAUUAUGACUGACAUUGAAAGCAAGUAGGAAACAAUCAACCAACUAACAGAACAAGGAGUAAUAAGUGAGAAUCCGCUGCAGUCUUGCAAAAGAUUUGUAACUGUUCGCAGAGCUGUUAGGACGAACAAGCCAUAAUUUAAAAUAUAAAAUAUUUCAAAGUCGUUCUUAGACAUCACUGAUGUGCCCGCCAAGUGUAGCGAAGUUGCUUCAGAAGUGGAAGAGUUACUAACACGAAUAGGCGAAUUAAUAUCUACAGUAGCAUUACCCUGCCAAAGACCACCAGGAGGACUCAGUGAUGCCUGGUACAUG
rnacentral:misc_RNA from 1 species